rnacentral:miRNA from 14 species
CCCAACCUGGUGGUCACCCGCAUUCCACGACCUCAGACUGACUCAUGUAGAUCCAGUUCCACAUCUGGCAUCCAUAUGUAGUUGGCACUCUUCAGUAAGGGGGGGGGGUCACAUCUGGCUGGA